rnacentral:lncRNA from 1 species
AAAUAUGGCAGUAGUUAAAACUUUUGUGUUUUAUAUAAGAUUUACGAGUUUAAGUUUCACGAAGAUGUAAGUUUACAUUUUAAUAAAAAUUAAAACUAUUUUUUAAAAAUAUUAAACAUUGUAGAUUUUGAUUUUAAAAUCUUUAUUGUUAUUAUUAUUAUUUUUCACUAAAUGGGGUAUGUACGCUGAUGCAGUUGGAAACAAACACUACCCCUCGUAAGUGCAAGCGCACUCGUUUAAAUUAAGAUGGAAACUCAUGGGUCCUUGUGUGGUGCUUUAGGAUUGCUUAGCUAAUUUAGGAUAAACAAUGCUAAGGCUCAAGGGUAGUUGAGGAUAAGGAAACUUUUGGCUUCUAGAGUUAUUUUAAGAUACCUAUGAGGUUACAAGAUAGCUUUGCCAAAAGGUUGUGUAGGGUUUUAAAAUUGUUCUAGUGUUCUAGACAUAUCUUAAAAUAAUUAUGAGGUGUCGAGCUGUAUUAGGUCUUACUAAAGCUCUACAACUGCGGUGUUACAUCUAAAUCUAAAGGUUUUAGUCUUUUCUCUUUUUUUUAAUGUUAUGUCGCACUAAGAUAUAAAUUUUUUGUCCUAAAAUUUAAUUUAGUAUAGAUUUUAUUUUACUUAGUUAUAUGGCAAAUUUUCUACCUAGUACAAAUUUUAUACUUGAUGAAUAUUUCUUUGAGUUUAGGUUAUUACUUGAGGAUGUUUAAGCUUACAUUCUGCAUUUUGUUUCCUUUCUUUUGAGUUGGAUUCAAAAGUAUUAUAUGAAUAAUGCAUAGCUUAGCUAGAGAUGAGUAAGGACUUCUGAAAGAUAGAUAAUUGUUCAUGAACCUCAGUUUUUGCUUCACUUACUUGAGAAUGAUAGUUUUGGUCUCUUACUUGAGCAUGAUGUUUUUUAUUGUUAAUGAAUAAUGAUUUUUCCUUAAAAAAAAAUCA